UCCCGUUUAGCUCAGUUGGUAGAGCGCGUCACUAGUAUUCGCAUCAUUGCGCUAUGACGAGGUCAGUCGUUCGAGUCGGCUAAUGGGAA
rnacentral:tRNA from 1 species